rnacentral:misc_RNA from 1 species
UCCGAUUUGUCACCGGCAGUCUCCUAUGAGUCCCCGUCUUUCACGCUGGCAACAUAGGACAGGGGUUGCGCUCGUUGCGGGACUUAACCCAACAUCUCACGGCACGAGCUGACGACAGCCAUGCACCACCUGUGAAGGUGCCCCGAAGGGAGACCGUGUUUCCACGGCUUUCCCCAAGAUGUCAAGCCCAGGUAAGGUUCUUCGCGUUGCGUCGAAUUAAACCACAUGCUCCACCGCUUGUGCGGGCCCCCGUCAAUUCCUUUGAGUUUCAGCCUUGCGGCCGUACUCCCCAGGCGGGACACUUAACGCGUUAGCUGCGGCACAGAGGGAUUCGACUCCCCCCACACCUAGUGUCCAUCGUUUACGGCUAGGACUAC